UCCAGAUAUGUCCUGGACAACCCUUGCGUAUUACGCCUUUGUGAAGAAGAAACGCUAAACACGAGUCCGUUUUCCCUCUCUACCCAGCCACUCGCCGCCGCCGUCGCCCGCGCCACCGCUACCGCCGCGGAAUUUCCUCGUGCGCGCCGUCGCAGGAGCAAUGGACAAAUUUGUGCGCGUUUACAGUGGUGGGGAGCUCGUGAAGGGGCCAAACGGGGUGGACUUUGGGAACCUUCCUGAAGAGGGUAUAUGGUUCGAGACGGCGCCCACGUUCAGUGAUCUGAUUGACGCUGUGCACAAGAAGCUUGGUUGGCGACAUGAGACACACAAUAUCCGUGCGCAGGGAAGGAUGAAUGUUGGUGGGGGUGCUCAUCGGCACUUCAUCAUGGUUCCUAUCAACGACGAGAUGUCCUGGAGUAGCUAUGUCAAGGCUGUUUUCAAUGGGACUGAGUGGAAUUGUCUGGAGAUUUAUGUUCAAGCAGAAACGCAUUACCCUGCAGAGGCCAUUUCCUCAGAGCCGGCACUAAUGGCUAUUGAACCAGCAGAUGUGCAGUACCAAAAUGCCCAACCUCAACAUCAAGGACGGGGCUCUUUUGAUAUUUCUUCGAUGUCAACCCCCAGUCCACCAGAUCAGCAUUCUCGACAUGGUCGACUGCAAAAACCUAGAAAGAGCACCAGGGCGUGUACAAACAAUGGUGGACGGGUUGGCGCAGAAGUUCAGUCCGGUCAAGAUCAGACUGGGGCUUCAGAGACAGUUGAUACAACUUCCUAUGCUUUAAUUGGGUUGUUUGAUGCUGAUCAUCGUGCUCGAGCUCUAGCAUCUGGGAAGAAUCUAACUGAGCUCAACCCUCGUACCCGUGAGCCUCUUCGGUUUGACAAGCGGUAUGAACGUUACCUUAGGCCGGCUGGGUUGAUGGGGCUCAUGAACAUCUGUAAGGCUGGGCUACCCUCCAUUGACCGUGCACUUGUCUCUGCACUAGUUGAUAGGUGGAGACCUGAGACCCACACCUUUCACAUGCCCUGUGGUGAGGUCACAAUCACACUACAAGAUGUUGCAAUGAUUCUUGGACUUCCUAUUGCUGGCCAUGCUGUCACUGUAAACCCAACAGAGUCCAAGAAUGAAUUGGUUGAGCGAUAUCUUGGGAAGUCACCACCUCCACUGGAUAGGCCUCGCCCUGGGCUGAGGGUUUCAUGGGUCAGGGCUGAGUUUAAUAACUGUCCAGAAGAUGCUGAUGUAGAAACUGUCAAACAGCAUGCUAGGGCAUACAUCCUUAGCCUGAUUAGUGGAGUACUGUUUCCUGAUGCAUCUGGUGAUCUGUACACCUUCUAUCCAUUUCCGCUGAUUGCUGAUCUUGAUAAUAUCGGCUCGUACAGUUGGGGUUCUGCUACUCUGGCAUACCUCUACAGGUCAAUGUGUGCUGCUUGUAGGAGGCAGUCAGAUCAAAGUAAUCUGACUGGUUGUCUUCUGCUCUUGCAACUUUGGUCAUGGGAGCGUUUUCCAAUUGGCAGGCCUGAUAUGGUCAAGCUGAAAUACCCAAAUGUAGAGGAGCUAGAGGAUGAAAGGGAUAAGCCCACAGUUGGUCUCAGAUGGGUUGUGGGUAUGUGUACGCGUCGUGCAGCUCCAGCACGUUGCUAUGAGCACUUCACAAAUGAGUUUGACUUGCUAACAGAUGAUCAGGUUGUGUGGUGCCCAUAUAGGAAGGAACUAGUGAAGGAACUGCAGCUUGCCCCAAUAUGUACCCAGGAUUCUCAUUUAUGGUUAACACAGGCACCAUUAAUUUAUUUCUAUAUGGUGGAGGUUUACACACCUGAGAGAGUGAUGCGCCAAUUUGGUCUCCAUCAGAGCUGCCCACCUCCAUUACGGGACACUAGUGUGGAACUUCAUUGGUGUCGUCGUGGAAGAGUUCAUAAUGAUUGGGCACAGAAGCAUAAGUCUUUUGUGGAUAUUUGGGAAGCAAAGGAGAAACAUGUUAUCAUGGAAGACCGACCAUACAACCAUGAUAACUACAUGGAUUAUUUGAGGUGGUAUAAACGAUCUACACGCAUCCGCCUUUGCACACCAAGGGGAAUUAGUAAUGGGCACAAGGGUGCAACACCUGGGGGAAGUGUGAUUGCUGAUUCUGAAGACCCUUUUCAUGCUUCUCAGCUUCGGUAUACUCCCAGGGCCCAUUUGAUCCAUUCAGUGACGGACAAACUCACUAUCCUGGCAAAAGAUGCUGCUGCUCAAAAAGGAUGCCCCAGAAGUGAAUGCCAUGCAUUUGUUGAAAGGGUCACUAGAACAUGUGUAGAAGUUAUUAGGGAACUCGGUGGAUCGUCGCUUUGUGACAUUGCUGAUGUGAUUGGUUCAUCAACAACAGCAAUAACUGAAGAUGGACUGGAGGUGGAGAACCAGAGGGAUAAGGAGAGAGACAUAAAUCAUUCCAUGGUGCUUGGUCAGGACACCGAGGCAGGACCCCAGUUAGAGAAGCAGUCUGAAAGCCAGGAUGGUCACAAACAAGCCAAAAGAACAGCCCCCUCAAGUUCAUUGGGCAAGAGGAAGAUGAGUAGAUCUGUUCCAAGAUAACUAGUACUCAGUAAGUGCUUUAUAAAUUAUAAUUUAUUUGUGCUAAUUAUUAUUAGAAAAAGAAACAAUUGUAUUUUGCUGCUCGUGUUGGAUAGUCAUAGUGCAUUUUUAUGUUGUGUCAUGAGCUGGUGGAUGGACAAAAAUGUUGUAGAAAAAAUCAUUAUCAGUGACUGUAGAAUAGAUGGAUGAAAUUAAUUUUCUUAGAUGAGAUAUUAUCCAAAAAAUUAUGUCAGCUCAAGCCUCAAUAGGUCUAGGUUAAUUUAUCUGCUAUGCCUAAAUACGGUGGUCCUAUAAGUUUUCUCCGUUGCGCAUACCAAUGUGGAUACUGGACAGGUGCAGAGUGUAAACUAAUGUAUAGUUUCAAUUGGCCUGUUACAUGGACUCAAUCGUAUUAUAUGAAAUCAUGUGGAUUCUAGAUAUAUACCAAAAAAAAACGUCCAUGCAAAUCAGGUUGCAACAAAUGUUUAGCUUAUCAGUGAUUCAGGUCUACAAUCAUAAUGUUAAGCGCAAUCUCAAUCAUAGAAAAUGCAUGGAAAGUAUACUUCUACAUGCAGGAUAAGCCAACCUCAUGAUUUCUCCUGCAGUCCUGCUCCUCCUGUUUGCUUUUUCUUGAAGGAAUUGACUUUAGGUUUAUUACUAUAAAUACAUGUUUUUUGUGAGCAAUUGAGUUUAGCAAAAGGAUGUAAAAUCUGUAUCUGAUUGGGUAAUCCAAGAUAUAUGUCAAUUGAGAUUGAAGCUGCUGAUGGCAGCCGAUGAGCCGGACCCAAACAUAUUUAGUUGCUGAAGCAAGUGAGAUUAAGGUUGUGAAAUUGGUGCUUGGAAUGGCCACUAUACUUUUCACCACUGGAACAUGAUGAUGGAUCCAAAACAGGGAAUUGUUGUCGCUGUGGUAGUCUUGAGCGGCAAGCUAAUCCGUAUCCACUGAGGACUGUAGACAUUGCUGCUCCAGACUCGCCGUCUGAUGUGUCACAAGAGGAGCCAGUAGCAAUGGAAGAGAUGACUAAGGAGAGAUUCAUGGAGAAGCUGCACUGCUGGAUUAUGGUGUUUGCGUCUCAUUUCGCCUCCAUGACGUUCCAAGCAGGGCUCAAUCCCCCAGGGUUAUUCUAGCCUAAUGUCUGCCGCGGAAGCACCCUGAGGAAAUAUGGGUUGUGAUAGACAAUGAUGAUAAUCUGCCCAUCGGCCUGAUGAUUAUGCGUGGCAAUAAUACUCUGGAAGGGGCAAACGAAGCUUCAAAAGAUUAUAAAAUGACGAUGGGUCUCGUUUUGAAACGGCAUCUCUGGUUGUUAUGUUUGAGUUUAGGAUAAGGUCGAGCUUAUCUUUAAUUGUUUAUGCCCAGAUGCAUGCACUCCACUGAUUUUAUCCUGUUUAAUUCUUAUUUUUUGGAGAAGGAUCCAUAAAGAAACUAAAUUAGUUCAGGUUUCCUCUU